UACAGAGGGUGCGAGCGUUAAUCGGAAUUACUGGGCGUAAAGCGCACGUAGGCGGCUUUUUAAGUCAGGGGUGAAAUCCUGGAGCUCAACUCCAGAACUGCCUUUGAUACUGAGAAGCUUGAGUCCGGGAGAGGUGAGUGGAACUGCGAGUGUAGAGGUGAAAUUCGUAGAUAUUCGCAAGAACACCAGUGGCGAAGGCGGCUCACUGGACCGGUAUUGACGCUGAGGCGCGAAAGCCAGGGGAGCAAACGGG
rnacentral:rRNA from 1 species